AAAAAAGGUAAGCUACUAAGAGCGAAUGGUGGAUGCCUUGACUGGUAAAGGCGAUGAAGGACGUACUAGACUGCGAUAAGCUACGGGGAGCUGUCAAGAAGCUUUGAUCCGUAGAUUUCCGAAUGGGGCAACCCAAUGUAUAGAGAUAUACAUUACCUAUAUAGGAGCGAACGAGGGGAAUUGAAACAUCUUAGUACCCUCAGGAAAAGAAAUCAAUAGAGAUUGCGUCAGUAGCGGCGAGCGAAAGCGCAAGAGGGCAAACCCAGUGCUUGCACUGGGGGUUGUAGGACUGCAAUGUGCAAGAGCUGAGUUUAGCAGAACAUUCUGGAAAGUAUAACCAUAGAGGGUGAUAGUCCCGUAUGCGAAAAACAAACCUUAGCUAGCAGUAUCCUGAGUAGGGCGGGACACGAGGAAUCCUGUCUGAAUCCGGGUCGACCACGAUCCAACCCUAAAUACUAAUACCAGAUCGAUAGUGCACAAGUACCGUGAGGGAAAGGUGAAAAGAACUGAGGUGAUCAGAGUGAAAUAGAACCUGAAACCAUUUGCUUACAAUCAUUCAGAGCCCUAUGUAGCAAUACAGGGUGAUGGACUGCCUUUUGCAUAAUGAGCCUGCGAGUUGUGGUGUCUGGCAAGGUUAAGCAAACGCGAAGCCGUAGCGAAAGCGAGUCUGAAUAGGGCGCUUAGUCAGAUGCUGCAGACCCGAAACGAAGUGAUCUAUCCAUGAGCAAGUUGAAGCUAGUGUAAGAACUAGUGGAGGACUGAACCCAUAGGCGUUGAAAAGCCCCGGGAUGACUUGUGGAUAGGGGUGAAAGGCCAAUCAAACUUCGUGAUAGCUGGUUCUCUCCGAAAUAUAUUUAGGUAUAGCGUUGUGUCGUAAUAUAAGGGGGUAGAGCACUGAAUGGGCUAGGGCAUACACCAAUGUACCAAACCCUAUCAAACUCCGAAUACCUUAUAUGUAAUCACAGCAGUCAGGCGGCGAGUGAUAAAAUCCGUCGUCAAGAGGGAAACAACCCAGACUACCAGCUAAGGUCCCUAAAUCUUACUUAAGUGGAAAACGAUGUGAAGUUACUUAAACAACCAGGAGGUUGGCUUAGAAGCAGCCAUCCUUUAAAGAAAGCGUAAUAGCUCACUGGUCUAGUGAUUUUGCGCGGAAAAUAUAACGGGGCUAAAGUAAGUACCGAAGCUGUAGACUUGCACACAACUUAGAUUAUUUAAGUUUAGAAUAUGAGAAACUAAGUUAUAUGUUUAGUUAUAUUUUUACUGAUUUUUAUAGAGUAAAGAUAGAAAUAAAACUUAGUAAAAUCAGUAAAAAUAUUCUUAGACUAAAGUUAAGUAGUUUAAGUUGUGUGCAAGUGGUAGGAGAGCGUUCUAUUUGCGUCGAAGGUAUACCGGUAAGGAGUGCUGGAGCGAAUAGAAGUGAGCAUGCAGGCAUGAGUAGCGAUAAUUAAUGUGAGAAUCAUUAACGCCGUAAACCCAAGGUUUCCUACGCGAUGCUCGUCAUCGUAGGGUUAGUCGGGUCCUAAGUCGAGUCCGAAAGGGGUAGACGAUGGCAAAUUGGUUAAUAUUCCAAUACCAACAUUAGUGUGCGAUGGAAGGACGCUUAGGGCUAAGGGGGCUAGCGGAUGGAAGUGCUAGUCUAAGGUCGUAGGAGGUUAUACAGGCAAAUCCGUAUAACAAUACUCCGAGAACUGAAAGGCUUUUUGAAGUCUUCGGAUGGAUAGAAGAACCCCUGAUGCCGUCGAGCCAAGAAAAGUUUCUAAGUUUAGCUAAUGUUGCCCGUACCGUAAACCGACACAGGUGGGUGGGAUGAGUAUUCUAAGGCGCGUGGAAGAACUCUCUUUAAGGAACUCUGCAAAAUAGCACCGUAUCUUCGGUAUAAGGUGUGGUUAGCUUUGUAUUAGGAUUUACUCCGAAAGCAAGGAAACUUACAACAAAGAGUCCCUCCCGACUGUUUACCAAAAACACAGCACUCUGCUAACUCGUAAGAGGAUGUAUAGGGUGUGACGCCUGCCCGGUGCUCGAAGGUUAAUUGAUGGGGUUAGCAUUAGCGAAGCUCUUGAUCGAAGCCCGAGUAAACGGCGGCCGUAACUAUAACGGUCCUAAGGUAGCGAAAUUCCUUGUCGGUUAAAUACCGACCUGCAUGAAUGGCGUAACGAGAUGGGAGCUGUCUCAAAGAGGGAUCCAGUGAAAUUGUAGUGGAGGUGAAAAUUCCUCCUACCCGCGGCAAGACGGAAAGACCCCGUGGACCUUUACUACAGCUUGACACUGCUACUUGGAUAAGAAUGUGCAGGAUAGGUGGGAGGCUUUGAGUAUAUGACGCCAGUUGUAUAUGAGCCAUUGUUGAGAUACCACUCUUUCUUAUUUGGGUAGCUAACCAGCUUGAGUUAUCCUCAAGUGGGACAAUGUCUGGUGGGUAGUUUGACUGGGGCGGUCGCCUCCCAAAUAAUAACGGAGGCUUACAAAGGUUGGCUCAGAACGGUUGGAAAUCGUUCGUAGAGUAUAAAGGUAUAAGCCAGCUUAACUGCAAGACAUACAAGUCAAGCAGAGACGAAAGUCGGUCUUAGUGAUCCGGUGGUUCUGUGUGGAAGGGCCAUCGCUCAAAGGAUAAAAGGUACCCCGGGGAUAACAGGCUGAUCUCCCCCAAGAGCUCACAUCGACGGGGAGGUUUGGCACCUCGAUGUCGGCUCAUCGCAUCCUGGGGCUGGAGCAGGUCCCAAGGGUAUGGCUGUUCGCCAUUUAAAGCGGUACGCGAGCUGGGUUCAGAACGUCGUGAGACAGUUCGGUCCCUAUCUGCCGUGGGCGUAAGAAGAUUGAAGAGAUUUGACCCUAGUACGAGAGGACCGGGUUGAACAAACCACUGGUGUAGCUGUUGUUCUGCCAAGAGCAUCGCAGCGUAGCUAAGUUUGGAAAGGAUAAACGCUGAAAGCAUCUAAGCGUGAAGCCAACUCUAAGAUGAAUCUUCUCUAAGCUCUCUAGAAGACUACUAGUUUGAUAGGCUGGGUGUGUAAUGGAUGAAAGUCCUUUAGCUGACCAGUACUAAUAGAGCGUUUGGCUUAUCUUUAAUAAAGCAU
rnacentral:rRNA from 1 species